GUCUCCGGUUAAUCCAUCGAAUUAAUCGUAUGGAUCGCGGGGGAUACUGGUUGGCUAGGGGACGAGAGAAGCAGACAGUAUUUCCGGGGUAGGGGUGAAAUCCUAUAAUCCCGGGAAGACCACCAGUGGCGAAAGCUGUCUGCUAGAACGCGCCCCACGGUGAGGGAUGAAAGCUGGGGGAACGAACCGGAUUAAAUACCCGGGUAGUCCCAGCUGUAAACGAUGCAGGCUAGGUGUUUGGACGGACACCUGCCGUUCUAGUGCCCCAAGAAAGCUGUUAAGCCUGCCCCCUGGGGAGUACGAUCGCAAGAUUGAAACUUAAAGGAAUUGGCGGGGGAACACCCCCAGGGGUGAAACUUGCGGUUUUAUUGGAAUCCACGCCGGAAAUCUCCCCGGGAGCGACAGCUGUGUGAAGGCCAGAUUAAAGGUCUUGCCAUACCAGCUGAAAAGAAGUGGAUGGGCCUCCCCCGUUCCUGCCUGGAGGUGUCCUGGUUAGUCCAGGAACGAUCGAAACCCGCGUCCUCUGUUGCUACUAGCCUUGUGCUGGGCACACUGAAGAGACCGCCACUGAUAAAGUGGAGGAAGGAGCGGGCCACGGCAGGUCAGUAUGCCCCGAAUCUCCCGGGCCACACGCGAGCUGCAAUGGCAGGUACAAUGAGUUCCGACCUCGAAAGGCGGAGGCAAUCUCGAAAGCCUGCCGUAGUUGGGAUCGAAGGCUGCAACCCGCCUUCUUGAACAUGGAAUCCCUAGUAAUCGCGUGUCAUCAGCUCGCGGUGAAUACGUCCCUGCUUCUUGCA
rnacentral:rRNA from 1 species